GAGGGGAGGCUCUAGAGGAAGAGAGGGAGUAACUCAGAGUGAGAGAGUGAGGGCGAGGAUUUUAAAUCCGAUGACAGUGAUAACAGUGAUAGUCAGCUCAGGCUUGAGUGGCGGAAGGGUCGCAGCUGAAUCUGGAAAGCCACCUAUGGUCUGACGUAUACAGCUUUUAUCACCAAUGUUACUGUCACUUUAAGACUGUUACUGAUUAGCCGCUGAAGAAUGUGACUGGAAAGAAAAAAGGACAGACUUAAAAAGAAAGACAGAAAGGAAGAGAGAAAGAGUUUCAAGCUGUAAAUCAUAUGGAGAACACCGGCUGAACAAGGAGAAGACUGAGACCCGGCACAUGCAAGCAGCAUUCAUGCAUCAGGAAAUACUCCGUUCACCAGACUUGGUAAGUGAACAAGAUGGGGGGGACAGAAAGCUCUGGCUACUAAUGGAUAUCAUAUGGUGCAUGUUAAAAUUGAGAAAUUGUUUGCAGAUUUGAGAUAACUAGUCUGAGAAAUGUUCAAAUUACAAACAAUUAUUAGAGAAAUUCUGCUUUAUAUUAUUGUAUACAUGUGCGUGUGUUUUUUGGUUUGUUAGUGUUUUUGUGAAUAUAUAUGAUUUAUGUGGUUAUAAGGGUUCGUUUUUUUAAUCAACAUGUCACAUGAGGCGUUACUGGGAGGAUAGCUUUUAUGGUAACUGAAACUGAUUCUUGUGCUGCCAUGGAAGACAGGUCUGCAUUUAGUUUUUUGUGGUAUGACGGUUUAUGCUGUCUUUGCUUUUGUAUGGAAUAAUUUGAGCUACUCUUUAUACAGGCUAAUCUAUAAAAAAAAAAAUUAGAGGGGAAUUCCCCUUGGUGGCAAUCAUGAGAUUCUCUCCCUUUGUAUGUCCCCCUUCUGAGUAAGUUGUGGCUGCUUCUAGUGAAUUCUGAAUGAGGAACUAUGCACACACUGUCCUAUAGAGCACAGUGCUGUUUUUUAUGAAUGAAUGGGCUAAAGAAAGUCCAGCGCUGAUUGGUCAGUUGCUCCUCGCUAAUCAAAUGACAGGCUUUCUGUUUAGCCCAUGAGAGGUCAGUCAGUGGGUGGAGUUACCGGUCUUUAGUCUUACAGUUCCUUCUUUUAUCUUACUGACCAGCUGUUAGGGUGAUGCUGGACCAAAAGCUUUUGGUGUAUAUGUGUGUGUGUGUGUGUGUGUGUGUGUGUGUGUGUGUGUGUGUGUGUGUGUGUGGUCACUGAAUGCACAUAGCAUUUACGUAGACAGGCACACUGGAUUUGGCCUCUUGCCCAGCUGUUGUUCAUCAGAAUCCAGAGUAAACUCAUAAAGUCGACCUUUUUAAAGUCAGAAUUAACUGGCAGCAAUUUUUUGUCUCAGGAAAUUAUAUCAUUGCCUCCAAAGAACAAAUUCCAGGGAUAUCAGAACAUUUAAUUUGGUUAAGUUAUAGCAAAACUAUACAUUUCUAAUUAAGGAGAUCUAUUUGAUUAGAAUAGUAAUAGUAAUGUAUACCUGUUUUUAAAAACUGUAGUGACAGAACACUAUAAAGGUGCAAAGAGCACUAAACUGCUGCCUUACACACUAACCUAAUUAUUUUCCUUCCGGAAACUAGCUCACACAAUAGCCACCCUAAAAUUAGACCUCAAGGCUAGCGGCCACCAUUGGAGGCUCCAAGCGGAAGUGGAAGACUAAGAGUGUGGGUGUGGGGAGGGUGUGUGCGGGUUUCUGUUGGGCUGAUACUUUGUCCCUCUAGAAUGUGGAAUGCGCCGGUCAAACAUUGACCUCUGUGCAUGCAGCACGCUCUCACGAGAAGGUGCAGCUCCAUGGCCCCCUCCUGCCAUCAGCCUCACAUACCAUCACACACCCUUUGUGCUUUAGCUUCAUAUAAUACUAACCACUCCCAAACCACUCCCUUUAUCUGUGCCAAGAUCUAUUCACACUCUUAUCAUAUAUGAGGCCUGUUCAGGAUGUGCUCUCUGUGGAUUGCCAUAUGGAAUAUAAGGCAAGUAGUGUGUAAAAGUCACAAAAUGGCACAUUUUUGUCACUCUAAGUAUUACAACAGACCCAGAACAUGGCUUCACUUCUCUCUAAUAACAAUUUCAUAGCAAAUUAGUGUUACAAUUAAAUUUAAACAGAACUCUUAUUCAGUUACUAACCAAAUGUUGGUUUCAUUUGGUAUAAUCAACAAACUCAAAUUUACUUCAAGUAUUACUUACACAGUGUGACACUUUAUAAGCGGCAUUAAAAAUGUAUAUGCUGAUUUGGGCACUCUGAUUUGGGACUCCAUUUUUUUAAUUAGACUUGCCAAAGUUGUAGUUUCAUGAACUUUGUAGUGAAUCAUCACUAUUUUUUGUAAGGAAGAGAAUAGUGUACAACUUUUACACUAGCUAUGUCAUUUUACACAUACCCUCACGGAGGCAGGAGUGGCUGAUGGAAAGGUGCUGGGCAUAAGCUGGCAUGUAACACCUGGGAGGAGAGUGUAAGGUAACACGUGUACCAAGGGGUGUGUAUAAUUGCACUAAGUACGUCACUAGGUACGUUAUUGUGCAGUCGCUACCGUACAUGUUCCACAGGGAAAGCUUGUAUAACUUGUGCAAUUCCAGAAAAGAUGCAAGAUCAGAUUAUGCUUCUUUCAUUGAGCUUACAUUGGUCUGUUUACACAACAGACGUCACAAGCUUGAAUUGUGGAGUUAAGACCAGCAUUCUAUAACAGACUUGCAUUCCCUGCCGACUCUAUCUCCUUACAUCACUGCUGUCGUUAAUGACAGUUGAGAUAUUAUAGUAGAUGUGAUUGUGUGAAUGUGAGGGUGUGUGCAUGACGUGUGUACUCAGGUAAUGGGAGGGCAUGCACUCGCACACACCUUUUUUUGUGUGUCACCAUGCCCAUAUUUGGGCAGUGUUUCCCGUUCUGGGCACACAGUGUACAGAACUGUAAAUCUAGGCUGUUCAGAAAGUGACUCCACAAAUGGAAACACACCAUGGAACAGGAGAAUCUUUGGAACUGGGAACAACCAUGUCCAGUCAUUCCAAUUUAAAUUUUUAUUCCUCAGCAUAAAUUUGCAUAUUGGGUAUGGCCCAAUGUUUUUCUUAAGCUUAAUCACAUUUAAUGUUGAGUGAAACUUAUAAACAAAAAAUUACUUUUUAUAUAUACUUUGUAACUGUGUAGUAAAGAAAAAAGCAACUGCUUUUUAUCUUGAUAGGAAGGACGUAUACAUUGGUAAGCUUACCUGGGCAGGUGACCCAGCAGAGUACAAGUGAAUAACUGAAGAAUUGUUUUAAAUAUAAAUAAAAACUGUUGAACCACACAGUUUGUUCAAAUCCAGCAUGAAACAGUGAGAUAUACAUAAGCAGGAAAGCAGUUUGUUUAAAGAAAACCUGUGGUACAUUUGACAAUACAGUUUGCAAUAAGGAACAUACAACUUCUGUUCAGGUCUUAUAGAAAGCUAAGGUAUACAAAUACUUUAAGAAUUGAACGGAGGAAAAAAUAUUAAUUGCAUAGCAUUAUUAAAAAAAUGUUUUUAUCUGAAUUAUAUAGAGACUUCAGAAACAUUUCAGCUGCUCAUUUCAAGUGCUUCAAUGUUCUUCCCAACAAAAAUUAACUUAUUGAAACAAAAGGGGCAAUGAUUAGAACAUUCCUGUCAUCAAUCACAUUAAAAUGCACUUCAUUUAUCAAAGACUAAAGAAAAACACAAACACCUUCCCAAAAUAAUUAGGAACUGCAAAUCUUGGUACAAAUUCAAUGCCUGGUUAUGUCUCUGAUUCACACAUUUCUGGACAUUUUACACAUUUCAAAUGAGUUGUGGGCAAAUACUAAACCAUUCAUUUUAUUCAAGAUGAAUUGUCCAGAUGCCCUCUAAAUGUUUCACAAGUUUGUAUAACGAGGACCAUGAAUACAAUUUGCUUCAUAUCCAGUAUAUAAAAGCUGACAGUAUUCUCUAUUCGAUUUUGCAUCUCAAGGGAUGGUUGUUCAUACAGAAUGCAUGUUUUGUUAAAAACUCAGCAGUGUGCACUGCUCUAAAAAUGCUGAUUAUUGAUGCUCCUGUUGGAGCCAUUACUGCCUCUGUGAUGUGCACAUGAAGGUGGAAGUGGUUCAGACAUCAGCAAGAGGGUCAGUGUGCUCCUAAACAGAGUGAGUAUUAUGGCUAUUUUAAGGAGUGUUGUGCGGCUCUAAUGGAACGGAAUUUAUCGUCCUUCAUUUAGAUGUAAUGCUAUACACUUGAGCAUGGUUCAAGAGCACGGCUGGACCUAGGGCAGCUCGGAGAGUUAUUCACACUGAAGAACAUAAAUCCUUUGCACUUCCGUCCAGUGUAUGUGUGUAAGUGUCCUUCCAGCAUACUGAAAUGAGGCAUUGCCUCAACAGUACUGUGGUAAUGAAGUCGACCGUGACUGUGAAUGUCUCAGCCUGAAUGGCAGAGCAUGUGUAUUUACAGUAUGCAUGUGUGUAUGCCUCUAUGGCUGACACCAAGUGUGCUCCAUAUAGUGGUUAAAGCUUUCUUUUUACCUUGAACUUUGCCUACCCAGAGACAUUUUGCCGUAGUAAAUUCUGCAUUAAAGAGCCAUAAGGCAAAUUCAUGUCACUGUCCUCCUUUCAGCCUGCUCUUUUCAAUGGCAAGAAUUUCUUGUAUUCCAUGCCUUCUGAAGGUUAAAGGAGACCUUACUUGGGGGUUGGAAACUUUUUUUAAGUUAGUCAGAAUCAAUUACCCUCACUUCCCCAAAUUUUGAGCAAUCAGCUAAUGAAAUUAUCGAGAAUCAGCAGCAUGCCCACACUCUGUGUAGGGCAAGUAAAUAUAAGUGAAGUGAAAUGAAUCUCUUACAAGCCUCUGAUGAGGUCCAGACCAAGGAUCCCAGACUUGACCUUUCAUCAGGCAUUUUGCAGCUGAAGACUCUUCCUCAAAUUAAAUUAGACUUUAAAAACAAGCCAUUAGCCUCUGGAAUGUAAGGGGGACCACCUCAUCAUGAAGGUAAUACAUCUGUGUUUUGACCCAUGAAGUUCCUCAAAUCUCUACCCGCUUUUGUGCGGUAGCUCUCAGAAUAUAGGCAUGUUUAAGGCAACAAGAGUGUAUCUUCAGAGGAAGUCACAACGGUAACUGACAUUUUCAUGCUGCUUACUACAUGGGGGCAGGAAACUGGCAGAAAACAUGGGGUCUUUAGAAAAAAAAAAGAUUUUAAUCAGAAUGUGAACAGUGGCUGACAAAGAUAUAGAAGUGUAGAGGUUUCUGGUAUGGUUUCAUAAGGAAAAAUGUGUCUGGGCUAGUUGUGAUUAUGUCAGCAGGACUGCUGAUUAGAGUGUGAAGGAAAUAUCAUUUUUGGACAGUUUUCACCUCUUUCUAGCUGCAAUGAACAUUAAUGAACACAGGGUUUGACAGGCAGUAGGUUGUGUUAGUGCAUUAAUUCAUGAAGUAUAUGCUAUCUUACCAUGUCAUUUCAAGUAAAAAGAACCAUAAGCCGAGUAUCAGCCUCUCUCUCAAGUCUUGUUAAUGGUGCACAUCUAUAAAAAUAUACAUAACAUUUAUGUGAUUUUGUUCUGUGACACCAGUUGCCAUUUUGUCAGGCAAAUUAGAUGUUAAGCCAUACUUUCUCCACAAAUGUGUUUAUUUACUUGUCUACCUGGUUAUAUCUGGCUUUAUUGAGAUCACUGAUUGGAAAUUGCCUAAUGUGAAUUGCAUAAGGUAGAAUUGUAAUUUAAGUGCAGUUGUAUUGCAAAUAACAAAAGUUGCAUAAAAGUUGCAUCAUGUAACCCUAGCUUUGCACCCAAACAGGAACAGGUUCACACAAACCCCUUUACUCAUACUUACUCCUUUCCACUCCACUUGGUGCCCCACCUACUCUGGUGGGUAAGGGCAAUGAUUCAGUUCCUGUUGGGUGGCAGACCAUGUGGACAAAACUCUGGUCAGGGGCUCGGCUGUUGCUCAGAAGUGGAUGUGGUCAGGCCCAGUCAUCUUUCAAGCAUCUUAGAGGAAACCCACAUCAACUGUAACAUGCUGGGGCUCUAGGAAUAGCCAUACCAGCAAGGAUAUUACCCCCUCCCCAGUCUAAACCAUGCCCUCCCAUUUUUAGCCCUAAAGCUAUGAUAGUAAAAAUAGUGAGGAGCAGCACCCAGAAAGCAAGCUGUAGAUUUGCCAGAUAUCUACUCCACCAUCAAUAGAUCCACUGCCAGCAAAGAAGUCAUUACAGACAGUCAAUACUAUUAAUAGUAUUGCAUAAUUUGAUCUUUCCAAAUAGUUCACAGUAUGCAUUUAUGAGGACCAGAACAGUUGGGGUUUUGGUAGUAAAAAUGCAAAUGUGUUUAUGUAUAUAUUAUAUAUAUUAUAUGUAUUUAUCUACAAAUCCUUAUGGCUUUAACAUUGUUAAAAUUCAGCACUAUCAAAGUCUUCCACAAUGACUCCUUUUUGAAUAAUCUAGCUUAUUGUUUGCUUCUCAGUGGAUCCUAUAGUGGGGGAGGAGAUGCUGGGAGGAAAAGGCUUUUGGUAAUACAUACAUACCCAUUCGCAAUAAAGUACUGGUGGAGUAUUGGUGGAUUAGUUUGAGCAUCAUCUACUGAACAUGAAAGCUGACAUGUUUCAAAAUCAUGAUAGUCAUUUUCUUAUUUCUCAAUACUGUCUACAAAGCACUAAAAGGAAAUCACCAAAUAAAUAAGUGCCGGUAGUAUUGAUAUCGUAUUUAGAAAUUGGGUUUUUCAGUAUACUAUACAUCUAUAUAUUUUUUCUUUCUUACAGGUUCGGAGGGUUCACAUUCAAGUUUCAUAUCUGAUUAUGCCAUCUUCUACCUCUUAGGUAAGAACAGUGAAACAUUUUAUAUAUUAUAUUAUUUUUGUAUUCUUUCUUUACCAAUUUCUAGACCUUCUGUGGAAAUUACAUGCUGGAAUCUAGUACAGACUGCAAAUGUCGUUCACUCAAUUAUUGUUCAACCUUGUGUGUGUGUGUGUGUGUGUGUGUGUGUGUGUGUGUGUGUGUGUGUGUGUGUGUGUUUGUGUGUGUGUGCGGGGGGUAAAAUGUCAUAAAAUUACAAACUUAAUCUAGUAAUUUAAGGUUAGAUAUAAUCGCUGAACAUUAAACUAUACUACAGGUUUUUGAAGUAAUUUGAAGACUAUUGAUUUGUUGGGUUUAAUUCACUAUGCACUUACUGUACAAUCUAGGAAAGCAAUUUAGAAAUCGACUUAUAUAGGAUAGCCCCCUGAAGCCCUUUAGCAUUUUCUUUCUCCUUGUAUUGUCUGCACCUCUCCUGAGGUGAUCACUAGACCUGGAAGGUUAUGAAUGGAAUGUUCCAUAAUGUGCCUGAUGGCUACAGAUCAUUACUGAGACUGUGGCUCACUCCUGGGGCAUACAACAGUGUAGCAGCCAGAAGCAAAUACCUCCCUAGAAAACAUCAGGCUAUGUUUUCCCCCAUUCCCCCACCACACACACACACGGAAAAGAUCCAAUUUGUUGAUGUUUGGCACAUAUUUCAGCUGAUUGCUUAAAGUGUUUUUUUAUAGGAGUAUGGCUCGAUCAUUUCUCCUUUUAAUAAUGUGUAUUGUAACUGUAUUUGUUGUGGUGGACAGUGUCUUAACACAGAUUUCACUCAGUCAACAAUGCAAUUUUUACAUCAGCAUUUCUAAAGUGACAACUCUGAAGUUCCCAUUUCCUGUGCACUCAAAACAAGUUUGCCCUAGCACAUUGGGAACCUAAUUAUUAAAAACCCAGCCCUAUAGCUAUAUUUGUGCAACUUAUAUGGUAUCUCUUACUUUUGAAUCUGUUUUUGCCAUGUGGUAUAAGUAUGUUACUGAGCGCCUCUAAACUUCGAUGCUCAGAAUUCCCUAGUUUCGGUUUUCUGGAGCCUGACAGUUAGCAGGGACAUUGUUCUAGAAUUUAGACAGGGGCACAUGGGUGGGAACAGUUUCCAUAACAGAGAAAAAUUUGAGUCAAAUGACUAUCAGCUGGCCAAGAAUGUUUGAUCAAAUGGUCACAAGGUCUCAGGUAUGCUGAGCUGGAGCCAUUAAUGAGGAUGUGGAGCUGUCUACAUGAUUCAGCUUGUCUUAAACUGUUUGAACAAAACUAGAUUUUGGUACACCAAGUCAGGCAUACCUUUUUUCUCAAAGGUGUCCCUUCCAGGAUGUAUUCCUACCAGUGUUCCUUGAAUGGGUUCUGGACCCAUCACAACCUAAAGAGAAUAAAGUGGUUGUUUAGGAUGAAUAAAUGAAUGAAUGGAUUUACUGAAUGUACUAGGAAAUGUAUGUUAGAUGUGCAAGGGGUAAUUAGUGAGUAAGACUUCACCCACUGCUGAGUCCUAGGAGUCGUAGGGUUCAAAAACUUGGUCCAUUGUUUGGAAUCAUAGCCUUCACCAACUUUCACGUACUCACUCACUUAUGUUAUCAUAUCUGAAUAAAAGUAUUACUGAAACAAAAUGCUCUGUCUACCUGGUUAAGAGAAGUGCUUCAUGCUUAAAAGAAUCACAGCUUCUCUUUGUAUGCAUACUUGUCUGCAGGCUAAUGGGGAUGAAUAAGAGCUAUUUGUAAGCCUUAACAGUGUGCUUAAAAUGGCCAUCAUAAAAUUAUCCUCCACCUACUGUUGUCCCUCUGUGCAUGUUUGCAUUAAGAAAGAAUGGCUCUGUUCACAAAUUCUAACCACCAAACCUUCUCUCUUUUCUCUCAGUGAGCGAGGAUGAACAGGCCCUGAAGAUGAUUUCGUUUUCCAACGAAGUCUGUUUUCUGUGCUAUACUGGUUUGCUCAUGAGCUGCUCAGUAGUCAGUGUAGAUCCUGUGUUGCAAUCAGCAGCUACAUCUGGCUACUGGGUCUCUGAUGGCAUUUUGCGCUUCCUGUUGGCACAUUCCAUUCCAAUUGUGUAGCAUGUGGACUUUGUGCUGUCAUUCAAAGAAUAGCGCUCUCUCUGUAUUGGAAGGCUUUCCUGGCUCACGUUAUUUCAUUUAACUGUCCAAAAGUGUUUCAGAAUUUGACCUCUUCAUACAUCUCCAUUAGUUUAUUGUGUUUCUGGUUUAUUGUUUCUCUAAAUAAUUUGACACACACUCUGCAUGCAACAAUGUUGUUGAAGCAACUAGAAAUUAUUUCAGACUUCUGUUUUGACAUGGUGGUAUUGUCCGAUGAAUGGAUCAAGCCAUUGUUUCUUGUCUGACUGUUGAAGAUGCAGUUUGAGUGAUUUGAUGACAAAGGACAAGGCAAGAUGUCACAUUCUUUGUGUGAUUAGGCUGUCAUAGUGGCUGGGUUUGUGUGAAUGCUUUCAGUUGCUGACGGCUGAGAAAUAAUGAAUGUGAAUCUUUUGCACAUGCAGAAGCCCAUCACUUUGCGAGGGCGAAUGAUGACUUCUUUUGUGCUGUCCCGAACCUGGCAUACAAUGUAGAUUUCUGUGUGGUACAAUCUACAGCUACAUUGUCUGCUGGGUUUCAGGCUGGCCAACAAUGCUCAUCAGUCCAUUAUAUGAAUAGGUAAGUAACCAACUCUUAUUAAUUGUUUAAAAUAAAUGUGAGAACACAAUAAAAAAGUAAUGAAACAUA